rnacentral:lncRNA from 1 species
GCUCAUGCUUCUUGGGGAGCCCCUAGUGGUCCUGGCACCCUCACCUGACGUGUCUUCAGAGCUGGUACUAGCCCUAACCAGCUGCCUACAGCCCCUGAAGUUCUGCUGUGACUUCCGCCCCUACUUCACCAUUCACGACAGUGAGUUCAAGGAGCUCACAACUCGAACCCAGGCUCCGGGAGCCCAAGAUGUCAGGGGACCUACCUAAGCAGGUCAAGCUUAAAAAACCGUCUCGGCUGAAGACCCUCGACACCAAGCCAGGCCUCUACACCUCCUAUACUGCCCACCUCCACCGGGACAAAGCCCUGCUUAAACGACUGCUCAAGGGCAUCCAGAAGAAGCGGCCAUGGGAUGUGCAAAGCGCCCUGCUGAGGCGGUACCUUCUAGAGCUCACACAGAGUUUCAUCA